GUGCCAGCAGCCGCGGUAAUACGGAGGGUGCAAGCGUUAUCCGGAUUCACUGGGUUUAAAGGGUGCGUAGGCGGAAUUGUAAGUCAGUGGUGAAAGCCUACAGCUUAACUGUAGAAUUGCCAUUGAUACUGCAAAUCUUGAGUACAUUUGAAGUGGGCGGAAUGUGUCAUGUAGCGGUGAAAUGCAUAGAUAUGACACAGAACACCGAUUGCGAAGGCAGCUCACUAAACUGUAACUGACGCUGAGGCACGAAAGCGUGGGGAUCGAACAGGAUUAGAUACCCCGGUAGUCC
rnacentral:rRNA from 1 species